UACGGGGGGAGCAAGCGUUGUUCGGAUUUACUGGGCGUAAAGGGCGCGUAGGCGGUCAGCACAAGUCAGUUGUGAAAUCUCCGGGCUUAACUCGGAAAGGUCAACUGAUACUGUGCGACUAGAGUGCAGAAGGGGCAACUGGAAUUCUCGGUGUAGCGGUGAAAUGCGUAGAUAUCGAGAGGAACACCUGCGGCGAAGGCGGCAUCCUGGACCGGCAUUGACGCUGAGGCGCGAAAGCCAGGGGAGCAAACGGG
rnacentral:rRNA from 1 species